rnacentral:rRNA from 1 species
GAUGAACGCUGGCGGCGUGCCUAAUACAUGCAAGUCGAGCGAACGGACGAGAAGCUUGCUUCUCUGGUGUUAGCGGCGGUCGGGUGAGUAACUCGUGGAUAACCUACCUCUAAGACUGUGGUAACUUCGGGAAACCUGAGCUAAUACCGGAUAAUAUUUUGACCCGCAUGGUUCAAAAGUGAAAGACGGUCUUGCUGUCACUUAUAGAUGGAUCCGCGCUGCAUUAGCUAGUUGGUAAGGUAACGGAUUACCAAGGCAACGAUGCAAAGCAGACCUGAGAGGGUGAUCGACCACACUGGAAGAGAGGCACAGUCCAGACUCCGACGGGAGGCAGCAGUAGGGAAUCUUCCGCAAUGCACGAGAGCCUGACGGAGCAACGCCGCGUGAAUGAUGAAGGUCUUCGGAUCGGAGAACUCUGUUAGUAGUAAAGAACAUAUGUGUAAGGAACUGUGAACAUCUUGACGGUACCUAAACAAAAAGCCACGGCUAACUACGUG